AUUAAAUAAAGACCUCCUAACUUUAUUUAAUAGAAAUCCUAAACUUUUUCAUAAUAAUCUCCUAGGGAAGCUACCAUGAGGGUAGCUUUUCUUUU
rnacentral:sRNA from 1 species